rnacentral:lncRNA from 1 species
AACAGCCCAUUCACUAGCAGAUGCUCAGCAUAAACCAGGCUAAGGUUAACAUUCCUUGUUGUCACACUACUCUGCAUCUAGGCUCUCUCAGAAUUAGAAUGAUGACUUUCCGAUGCCUGAUGCUGCUUUCAUGUUACUGGCAACCAUGAAAUUCCUUCUGUUCUACACUGAUGUUCCUUAGAACUGAUUGUCAUGAAUAGGCCUUUGUGAGCUCACUACAUCACUUCUUGGUGGAAGGAAUCCAGCUUCCUCAACUGAGACUCAAACUCUUAAGCAUAGCAUUUGGAUGACAGUCACCAUCAAUUCAUGUGAAUUGUUACUGUUUCUUUCACUUUGGUUGUGGAACUCCUACUAAGUGCUGAAGAAAAGACUGAUCUAGCCCAAGAAUUUUGCAAAAGAUUUGAUUUCAGAGAGGGACUGAAGGGGCAAAUGCAAAAUGUUUCCCUUCCAUGCAUUGCAGCAACCCAAAUUCCCUCCUGAAAAAGAAUCCUGGACAAAACAGCCUCCUGACUUUAGCUAUAAACUGUAUAUAACUCCAAGCUUCUUCAAGAAGCCAAGUGGAAAGUCAAAAGAGUUGAAGAAGAAAAUGAAAACUAGCACAGUGCAUGAAGAAUUGAACAGAAUAAGAUCCAGAUUGUUUGUCCAAGUCCUGGAACCAGAGAAACAACCAAAAAUCAUUACAAGGUUUCCACAUGUGGGUCCCUAUGAAGCACAAUUAAUGUUCGUGAAAAUGGGAAAAUUUAAGAGCAGCAAAUACCAAGAUCCCAAACCGUAUGAUUAUAGACAGUAUGAAAAGGAUACACCAAAUUUUGUGACAAGCAUUGCUAAAGAUCCUCUGAAUCUAAAGUUCCGGUCUCAGUGUUUAAGCAAAGUCCAUGGACUGCAUCCCUUGACAGAAGGAAAAAAAAGAUCUAGAUCGAAGGAAACAUUCAUUACCUACAAGGCUAAGGAACUCAAGUGGGAUUCCAAGCUGUUGCUACCAAAGGAGCCUUGGCCUACCAAAUCUGGCUCCUUUACGAGGCACAGAAGCCAACGAGGUGCACACAGCGCCUUUAUAGAACGUGUGGAAGAAACAUUGAGUAAACUAUGGCUGGAAGAGGCAAACGAGAAGAAGGCAGGAAGAAGCAGGAAAAAAGCAGCAGAUGGUCUACAGCGGGAAAGAUCGAGUGCAGCUGUUUCCACUGAGAAAUACCCUGACAUGGAGCUGUGGGCCAAGAGAGAAGAAGGCCUCCAAAAAGGAUGGCUAUCUCAGUCACCAUCAGCAGGACCACCUAUCCGGGGAAUGCCACCAGCACAGGUAUCUCUUUCUCUACAUAUCAAACCAGAACCCUUGGGGUUUUUGCUGCCUACUGGCAUCUCUCAGAGUGUUGAAGAGCUGAGAUGCAAGUAAAGAAGGAAAAUGACAUUUUAUAUAAAUCUUUCUGUGGUAUUAUGGUUGCUACUGUUCUUCAGCAUCUGUUGCAUUCGGAAAUCUGUAGGACCAUGUAUCUUUAUGCCACUGGCUCACUGGCUGUAAUAGUUGUAAAAGAAAAUUAUAUACAAAUGUAACUACCAUGUUAAAUUAUUUUAUUUUUGUAACAUGCAUUACCCACUGGCACUCAGUCAUUUACUUAAAAUAAUACAAUAAAUGUUAUAAAACCAUGUCA